GAACGCUGGCGGCGUGCCUAAUACAUGCAAGUCGAGCGAGAAUCUUAGAUUUGAAUCUCUCUGAGGAAAAUGUAAUAGGAAAGCGGCGGACGGGUGAGUAACGCGUAGGCAACCUGCCCUUAGCAGAGGGAGAGCCAUUGGAAACGAUGAUUAAAACCUCAUAAAACUGUGAUAACACAUGUUAAUGCAGCCAAAGAUUUAUCGGCUAAGGAUGGGCCUGCGUCUGAUUAACUAGUUGGUGAGGUAACGGCUCACCAAGGUGACGAUCAGUAGCCGACCUGAGAGGGUGAUCGGCCACAUUGAAACUGAGACACGGUCCAAACUUCUACGGAAGGCAGCAGUAAGGAAUCUUGCACAAUGGGGGAAACCCUGAUGCAGCAACGCCGCGUGAACGAUGAAGGCCUUCGGGCUGUAAAGUUCAAAACCUAGGGAAGAAGAAAGUGACGGUACCUGACUAAGAAGCCCCGGCUAACUACGUGCCAGCAGCCGCGGUAAUACGUAGGGGGCAAGCGUUAUCCGGAAUUACUGGGUGUAAAGGGAGCGUAGGCGGGCAGGCAAGUCAGGCGUGAAAUAUAUCGGCUCAACCGGUAUCUGCGCUUGAAACUGCAGGUCUUGAGUGAAGUAGAGGUUGGCGGAAUUCCUAGUGUAGCGGUGAAAUGCGUAGAUAUUAGGAGGAACACCAGUGGCGAAGGCGGCCAACUGGGCUUUUACUGACGCUGAGGCUCGAAAGUGUGGGGAGCAAACAGGAUUAGAUACCCUGGUAGUCCACACCGUAAACGAUGAUUAUAAGGUGUGGGGGGACGGACCCCUUCCGUGACCGGAGUUAACACAAUAAGUAUUCCCACCUGGGGAGUUCGACCGCAAGGUUGAAACUCAGAGGGAUUGACGGGGGUCCGCACAAGCAGUGGAGUAUGUGGUUUCAUUUGCCGCAACGCGAAGAACCUUAACAGGUCUUGACAUCGUAUGCAUAGUGUAGAGAUACAUGAAGUCCUUCGGGACAUACAGACAGGUGGUGCAUGGUUGUUGUCAGCUCGUGUGGUGAGAUGUUGGGUUAAGUCCCGCAAUGAGCGCAACCCUUGUAUUUAGUUGCUACGCAAGAGCACUCUAGAUAGACUUCCGUGGACAACACGGAGGAAGGUGGGGAUGACGUCAAAUCAUCAUGCCCCUUAUGACCUGGGCUACACACGUAAUACAACGGCAAUCGAACAGAGGGAAGCAACUCAGCGAUGAGAAGCAGAUCCCGAAAAAUUGUCUCAGUUCGGAAAGCAGGCUGCAACCCUGCCCGCAUGAAGUCGGAAUUGCUAGUAAUCGCGGAUCAGCAUGCCGCGG
rnacentral:rRNA from 1 species